rnacentral:lncRNA from 1 species
UGAAGCAAUCGUGGAAACCGGUAUAGCUAACACAUCUCUGGCCAUUUUUGAAAGGGUGGAAAAUCUAAGGCUAUUCACUUUCCACCACAAUAAAAUAUCAAAAUCUUUAAAAAAUCCUCAUUAGCCUCAGCUAGAUAUUUAUCCAACUCAUAUGUUUUAUCCUCACCACCAUUUUCCAACUCACGUUUUUUAUAAAAAAACUUAUAUUCGCCUUUUCAUAUGUAAAAACAUGUGUUGGUACACUCGAUUGGCUACAAGUACUAUGAAGUGGAGGUUUAUACUCAUCAAACUAUUCAUACAAAGAUUCCUUCAAUUUUUGCACCAUUUCACUAAGUGCAAAUGCAAGAUACUUUAGUUUUUAUUUAGGAUCUAAAACACAAGCAACAAACAUAAGCAAAUUCAUCUUAUCAGCAUCACCCCAAUAGUUAUCAUACUUCUCUUUCAUCUUGAUGGCCAUAACAUUGAAAUCAACAUUACUAUUUAACUGAGCAUAUCAUAAAAGAAUAUCAAUUUCAGAAAGCUAGUCAAAAAAAUUAUUGGGCAUGACAUAUGAAGUGUCAGAUAUAUGCAAAAUGACUUCAUAAAAGUGUUCCAAGAAAUCCCUCAAGUGUCUAACAUUAGCCCAAUCAUCCACAUUAGGCCAACCCUCUCCCCUUUCAAGUUCAACCUUAAAGUUUGUAUCUUGCUCCUCAAAUCUCUCAAAAGCUCUCUCAAAGUUCUGAGUAGUGUCUAACAUUAAGUAGGUCGAGUUUCACCUAGUACAAAUAUCAAGACACAACAUCUUCUUGCACUCUAACUUUUCCACCACAACACACUCCUUAAACUUUUGUAAUUUAGCUGGAGAUUGUCUCACAUAUCUAACAGCCCCAUAACACGUUCAACAGAUUUAUUCAUUUCCUUUAAGCCUUCAAAAACAAUCAAAUUCACAAUGUGUGUCAUGCAUCUCAUAUGAAGAUAUUUACUAUUUUGAACUAAACCCUCUCGAAGGUUAAAUUUCUUUCUCAAAUAACCAAUAGCAACAUCAUUUGAACUUGCAUUAUCAACAGUGACAGUAAACAACUUAUCAAUCCCCCAAUUCAACAAGCAUUUCUCAAUCACCAUCCCAAUGGACUUACCCUUAUGACUAGAAAUUGGGCAAAAUUUUAAAAUCUUUUUAUUCAAUUUCCAAUCGUUAUCAAUAAAAUGAGUAGUGAUACACAAAUAAUUAACUCUUUGCAAAGAAUUCCAUGUGUCAGUAGUUAAGCAAACUCUAGAACAAGAACUUCUCAAAAGUUGUUUUAUCUUGACCCUUUCAUCUAAAUACAAUUGAUAAACAUCCCUAGUCAUAGUAGUUUGUGAAGGAAUGUGAAACCUAGGACAUGCCACAAACAUAAAUUUCUUAAAGCCUUCAUUUUCAGCAAACUUGAAAGGUAAUUCAUCAAUCACAAUCAUUUGUGCUAAUCCUUUCCAACAUGCUUCUUGAUCAAAUCUCCAAGUUGAAAAAUGCCCUUCCCCCCCUUCAACUCCCUUUCAAGGUAAAACUAGUUGCUCUUGACUAAUGUCAACAACAUUACUAGGAUUUUUCUUACAUGAACCAAUAUGAUAUUUCAGUGACUCCGUACCAUUUUUUUUCAUAUCACAACAAAAUUCCUUUUGACAAUAAUUACAUUUAGCCUUAUUUGCACCCUCACUAUUAAUAACCAAUAGCAACUUCUGACCUUUAAGGAGUGACUUUUCUUUUCCUAGUAGUCCCAUUUGUUUAGCUUGAAGCUCCAACUCCCAAAUUUUCAAAAUCUAUCGAAGUAGGAGGUGUAACACUACCCUCAAUAGAUGUUGGUUCGGUGGACAUUCUGCAAGAAAAAAAUUAUAUAAUAAAUUAAAAUACAUUUAUAAUAUUAAACAUAUUUUGAUGUUGAGUUUUAGAGAAAUAAAUUACUGUUUUUUUAUGUUGAGUUCAACAUAUACUACUACAUUUUUUUAAAAUAAACAUAGAGGAUCCUUUAAUUCUACCAAAGAAUAAUAGAUAUGGGGUCUUUGGUCACCAUACUGCUUUUAUCCAUGUCUAAUAACUUCUUGUUGACCGGUUCAUCAUUCGCACAAGUGGAUCAGUUAGACAAACUUUAAAAGUUGGACUUAAAAAAAAAAAUCAUAGUGUAGUAUAAUAAACUAAAUUAAUUUACUUCAUAACGAGAAAAUUUUGAAAUAAUAAUACCUAAUGAUAAGCAAUUUUUUAUUAAAAAAAAAAAGACUAAUGCUUUUGUGUAGAAGUAAAUGAUCCAUAACUCUUCUAUCAAUGUUUAAUUUUCAUCCAUUGCAUUAACCAUUCAUUUUUUUAAGGAACCUUUCUUUUUUUUUUCUUUUUUUGAAGUAGAAGUAAUCGUUCAUUGUCUUUAUUUAUAUUUCAUGUUCAUGCAUUGCUUGUAAAUUUUACAUUUAUCAUUUUUAACAUUUUAUCGAUAUUUUAUUGCUAUUCAUGACCUUUAUUAAUACAUUUCAUCAAUUUAAUUUUAUUUGAAAAAAUAAACAUUUUUAUUUGAAUUAUUUUUAUGUGAAAUAUGAAAAACUUGAUAUUAAUAAUAUGAAAAGGUUGAAAAUUGUAUGAAAAAAAAGAAUUAAACUUUAUUUUUAAAAUAAUAAAAUGAUUUUCUAAAACAAUAUUCUUUCAAAAAUAACAAAAAAAUAACAUUUAGUGUAGAUGUUCUCUAUAUAAACGUAUCUUUGGAACAAAGAACCCAACCUUAAAUACUCAAUGAAUAAGGGGCCCAAGAAACCCAAACUUCAAAAACUCUUAAAUAGUACCUAUCAUAGCAUUAAACUUAAUUCAACAAACACCAGAUGCAAAACAGAAGCAAAAGGGCAGGCAAUGGAGUAGAAUCCUUGAGCAUGACCUUGUCGAACUAAAAACAAUAGCCUUGACUAGUAAAAAAAAAACGAAAUCAAGCACUCUCAUAAACCAACAGUUCCCAAACCCAGCGGUCUUUCAUCCAUUUACUGUUUUUUCUUCUCCCUAAAUCCUAUCUCAUUUUCUACUGUCAAUCCGACUCCCUCCUCUCUCCCCAUAAUCCAUCAUCAACAACCACCACCCACUGGCACACUUCCACUCAGGUAACUCUCCCUUUCAUUUUUUAGGCAAUAACAGAGUAACUCAGAAGAUAUGUUCUUCUUAAGCAUACCUACAAACUUGAAAACAACUACAAGCAUGAGAGGAAAAGCCUACCUUAACUCACCGGUGAUGGUGACCUGGUAGAUGCUGGACUGUUCAUGAAGGUGGCUGGCAGUGAGAAUAGAAAGAUUUUGGGAGAUUCAAUAGGGAUUUUGAAGGUAAGGGUCUUAGUUAGGGAUUAUUUUAUUUCUGUCAUGUGUUAUUGUGUUUUAGUUUUAGACUUUUAGUUUUAGAUUUUUAUUUUUAUUUAUUAAAUUAUUUGUAAUUUUUAUGAUUGAGUUGGGUUGGGUUGGAUUGGAUUGGAUUGGAUUGGGUACUUGGGUUUAUAUAUAUUAAAUUGAGUUUAUAUUGGGUUUAUGUUGGAUUGGGUUUGGGUGAAUAGUGGG